CCUGACUGCUAUCGGAUUGAUACUAAGCCAUGCGAGUCAUUGUAGUAAUACAAGGCAGACGGCUCAGUAACGCGUAGUCAACCUACCCUAUGGACGGGGAUAACCUCGGGAAACUGAGAAUAAUACCCGAUAGAACAUUAUGCCUGGAAUGGUUUAUGUUUCAAAUAAUUUAUUGCCGUAGGAUGGGACUGCGGCCUAUCAGUUUGUUGGUGAGGUAAUGGCCCACCAAGACUAUUACAGGUACGGGCUCUGAGAGGAGUAGCCCGGAGAUGGGUACUGAGACACGGACCCAGGCCCUAUGGGGCGCAGCAGGCGAGAAAACUUUGCAAUGUGCGAAAGCACGACAAGGUUAAUCCGAGUGGUUUCUGCUAAAGGAACCUUUUGUCAGUCCUAGAAACACUGAUGAAUAAGGGGUGGGCAAGUUCUGGUGUCAGCCGCCGCGGUAAAACCAGCACCUCAAGUGGUCAGGAUGAUUAUUGGGCCUAAAGCAUCCGUAGCCUGCUUUGUUAGUUUUCGGUUAAAUCCAUACGCUCAACGUAUGGGCUGCCGGGAAUACUACAAAGCUAGGGAGUGGGAGAGGUAGACGGUACUCGGUAGGAAGGGGUAAAAUCCUUUGAUCUAUUGAUGACCACCUGUGGCGAAGGCGGUCUACCAGAACACGUCCGACGGUGAGGGAUGAAAGCUGGGGGAGCAAACCGGAUUAGAUACCCGGGUAGUCCCAGCUGUAAACUAUGCAAGCUCAGUGAUGCAUUGGCUUGAUGCCAAUGCAGUGCUGCAGGGAAGCCGUUAAGUUUGCCGCCUGGGAAGUACGUACGCAAGUAUGAAACUUAAAGGAAUUGGCGGGGGAGCACCACAAGGGGUGAAGCCUGCGGUUC
rnacentral:rRNA from 1 species